GUUCCCGCUGUGGUUCCGAACCCUGCGCCAGGAGCUGUCCUACCGAAGGUUCCGAUCCCGCCUCCGGGAGCUGUCCGCCGGGCAGUUCCAAACCCCCUCCGGGAGCUGUCUUUCCAGCGGUUCCGACCCUCCGGGAGCUGUCCUCCGGGCGGUGCUGAACGCCAAAUAGCUCAGACGCUCCAGGGGAGGCGGGGCCGAGGCUGUGCCGCGACCCUGUGAACCUCGGGCUGCAGGGUUCUGGAACUCAUUCGGUGAGCAGUGGCCUUGCCAGGCCUUUUCUGGGGCAGAUACCAACGUAGUCUCCUUCAAGACCCCUGUAAUUUGAGGGCGGCAGUCUUUGACGUUCGACAUCUUCCGUACUUAAAACACCGAUGACUUUCUAAGUAUUGAUCAUUCCAUCACCUGUGCUCCAACAUCUCCUUACACACAGCCUGGAUACAUUCAUCUUUUAAAACGUGGUACAGUCUCCAGAGCUUCGGUGCUUUAACAAUGGAACACAGGCUCCCUCCUCCCGGGCAGGGACCUGGGUGGUGAAGAUUAUCUAGUCUUCUUUUCUCUUCUCCCUCCAUAAAUAGUGCAAUAAGUCACAUUAAUGGUAAUUGGGUCAUAAAGUCACUUUCACUCUGAAACAAAAUAAAUCCAUGAAGAUGUGAAGUGCUUACAAAUCCUACUGGGUAUAACUAAAUGAUAAUCAUUCAAUAUGGAAAGACGUGUUGCUGUUUCUAAGCAUUCAUAAAGAACGAAGAUAUUGGGAUCAUUCUGCCAACGUGUGAGUCAGCUCUACUUGGGGCAGAACCAAUACUCAUACCCUCCCUUCUUUGAUCCCUACUCUUCCUCCUCCAAAUCAGGGGCUCUACACAGUCAUAAACUUAUCACUUGCGGUGAUCACUUGCGGAUAAUAUAUAAAAAGGAAGGGAUUCACAAAACAUUCUUGCUAUAUGGAUUGGCUGAAACAAAGAAGUGUUUACAAAGCAUUCCAAUUCCCUUGGAAGAAUUAAGCCACAGAAAAGCACGGGUUGCUACCAUGUCUAUGUACUAUGUUGAACAGCCUGAAGCUUUUGAUAUGGAUAGUUGUGGAUUCCCUGGUCUUUCCCAUGAUAUGCUGCUUGGAACCAUCCAGAGCUACUGUGAUCUUGCAUUUCCUAUAAAAGUGCUCCUCCCUCAUCCAGGCUUCUGACCUCUAUUCUGCAAGGGUUGAUGCUGGUGUUUUGUUGGUUUUGUUUUACAUAAUUGGGGGUUUUCAUACAAUAACCAGAUUCAUGUUCCUUAUUUAAAUGAUGCUUACAUUAUAGGAAAAAUAUAACUCCCAACCUGUUGGAUGUCAAAUGUGCCAAGUUUGUGGUCUAACAACAUCGAGGAAUGAAGUCGUUAACCAAAGGAGGAAGUUAGGAAAGUUUUAUUGGAAAUAAAGAGAAAGGAAAGAAGAAUAGCUCUUGGAUUUCCAGGAGGGGUCCCAAAUGGGUGGCCACGAAGACUGUUUGUCAGCGGUAAUUUAUACAGCAAAGUCACAAUGUGGGUGAAACUACAAUCAACCUAUAGGAUUAUAAAUAUAGCCCCAAAACUAAUAAUCAAAUAGGGAGACAAGUCACCUAACAUGGAUACAUGGAAAGAAUGGAAAUAUGG
rnacentral:lncRNA from 1 species